CUAGCGUUGCUCGGAAUCACUGGGCGUAAAGGGUGCGUAGGCGGGUCUUUAAGUCAGGGGUGAAAUCCUGGAGCUCAACUCCAGAACUGCCUUUGAUACUGAGGAUCUUGAGUUCGGGAGAGGUGAGUGGAACUGCGAGUGUAGAGGUGAAAUUCGUAGAUAUUCGCAAGAACACCAGUGGCGAAGGCGGCUCACUGGCCCGAUACUGACGCUGGAGGCACGAAAGCGUGGGG
rnacentral:rRNA from 1 species